UGGGGAAUAUUGGACAAUGGGGGCAACCCUGAUCCAGCAAUGCCGCGUGUGUGAAGAAGGCCUUCGGGUUGUAAAGCACUUUAGGCUGGGAAGAAGCGUAGUCGUUUAAGAGAUGACUAUGUUGACGGUACCGGCAGAAUAAGCACCGGCUAACUCUGUGCCAGCAGCCGCGGUAAUACAGAGGGUGCAAGCGUUAAUCGGAGUUACUGGGCGUAAAGGGCGCGUAGGCGGCCGCGUAAGUUAGAUGUGAAAUCCCUGGGCUUAACCUAGGAACUGCAUUUAAGACUGCGCGGCUGGAGUACAGUAGAGGGCAGUGGAAUUUCCGGUGUAGCGGUGAAAUGCGUAGAGAUCGGAAGGAACACCAGUGGCGAAGGCGGCUGCCUGGACUGAUACUGACGCUGAGGCGCGAAAGCGUGGGGAGCAAACAGGAUUAGAUACCCGCGUAGUCC
rnacentral:rRNA from 1 species